UCCCGUAUAUGGCAUGGACUACCGUUACUCUGUGAUACACUCUCGACGAGUCGAGUUGUUUGGGAAUGCAGCUCCAAAUGGGUGGUAAAUGCCAUCUAAAGCUAAAUAUUGGCGAGAGACCGAUAGCGAACAAGUACCGUGAGGGAAAGAUGAAAAGCACUUUGGAAAGAGAGUGAAACAGUACGUGAAAUUGUUGAAAGGGAAACGCUUGAAGUCAGUCGCGCCGUUCGGGAUUCAGCCUUGCUUCUGCUCGGUUUACUUCCCGUUGGGUGGGUCAACAUCAGUUUUGGUCGGAGGAGAAAGGCUUGGGGAAGGUGGCAGCAUUCGUGCUGUGUUAUAGCCCCUUGUUGUAUACUUCGACUGGGACUGAGGACCGCAGCACGCCUUUGGCCGGGGUUCGCCCACGUACGUGCUUAGGAUGUUGGCAUAAUGGCUUUAAGCGACCCGUCUUGAAACACGGACCAAGGAGUCUAACAUGUGCGCGAGUGUUUGAGUGUUAAACUCAGACGCGAAAUGAAAGUGAAAAGUUGGGAACACUCAUGUGUGCACCGACGCCCGGAGCUGACCUUCUGUGACGCAUCUGCGGUAGAGCGUAUAUGUUGGGACCCGAAAGAUGGUGAACUAUGCCUGAAUAGGGUGAAGCCAGAGGAAACUCUGGUGGAGGCUCGUAGCGAUUCUGACGUGCAAAUCGAUCGUCAAAUUUGGGUAUAGGGGCGAAAGACUAAUCGAACCAUCUAGUAGCUGGUUCCUGCC
rnacentral:rRNA from 1 species